GGCUGGGUUCAUGAGAGGCUAAUCGCGGCUCGCCGCGGGCCAAGACGGCCGGAGACGUUAACCCUUCCCGCCCCUUCCAAGGGAGGAGGCCUGAGCCAGAUGUCCGUCCCGGGGGAGGGCGCCCUCUCCCUGCUCUGUCCCCAGAUUGCAGGGCUCGUCUUCGGGGGGGGGAAGCAGGGAGAGAUAGCCGUGAUUUACCCAGGCCCAGGGGGUGGGCUUUGACCUUCAGCCAUAGGGCAGAACCAGCCCCGAUCCUGGCUGGCCUCUGACGGUUCGCGGGGUGCUCGGGGCGGGUAAGAGCGCUCCAGCGGCGCCCCGACACGGUUCCCUGGGAGUAAGCCGAGCUCAGCGGGGGAUGGGGGGCACUGCUGAGCAAGCCCCCCACCCCCGCGGCGCCCUUACUCGAGGGUAAGCCCCAACCGGCGCGGGCCGUCGAGGGGAGGCGCCUGUGCUCGCCGUCACCGCAGCCAAUGGGGCGUCCGGCCGGGCAAGCAAGCAGCGGAGGCGGGGCGCCGUCGCCUGGGCUCUUCCAGGAGGGAAUCCCGGAGACGAGACACCUGGCGGGGCCCCCGCAGCUGACCCCCCUCCCGCCCCGGUCUGCCUCCGCCGCCGCCGCCGCCGCCGUGCUUGCUUUGGGGAAGAGCCCUGUGGCUGGAUCCGGCCAAAGGGGGCCCACCUAGUGCAGCAUCCUGUCGUCACAGUGGCCAACCAGAUGCCCCUUGUAGGAAGCCCGAAAGCAGGACCUGGGUGCAAAGAGAGCCCUCCCGGGGGUCCAGCAACUGUAUCCAGACGCAACGCUAUGAAGGCAGAACGGUGCCAUUAUGGCGAGUAUUCCUCCAUGAAUUUAUCUAAUCGUUCCUUAAGGUGGCCGCCCUGUUCUGGAUUCCUUCAGGAGGGAGGUGGAAUAUAAAUUCAAUAAAUAAAUAAAAAUAAUAA